UACAGGGGGUGCAAACGUUGCUCGGAUUCAUUGGGCGUAAAGGGUGCGUAGGUGGCGAGGUUAGUCAGGUGUGAAAUCUCGGGGCUCAACCCCGAAACUGCACUUGAUACUGCCUUGCUAGAGUACUGGAGAGGAGAUUGGAAUUUACGGUGUAGCAGUGAAAUGCGUAGAUAUCGUAAGGAAGACCAGUGGCGAAGGCGAAUCUCUGGACAGUUCCUGACACUGAGGCACGAAGGCCAGGGGAGCAAACGGG
rnacentral:rRNA from 1 species